rnacentral:rRNA from 1 species
GGAUCCAGACUUUGAUUAUGGCUCAGGAUGAACGCUAGCUACAGGCUUAACACAUGCAAGUCGAGGGGAAACGACAUCGAAAGCUUGCUUUUGAUGGGCGUCGACCGGCGCACGGGUGAGUAACGCGUAUCCAACCUGCCCAUCACUUGGGAAUAACCUUGCGAAAGUAAGACUAAUGCCCAAUGACAUCCCACGAAGACAUCUGAAUGGGAUUAAAGAUUUAUCGGUGAUGGAUGGGGAUGCGUCUGAUUAGCUUGUUGGCGGGGUAACGGCCCACCAAGGCAACGAUCAGUAGGGGUUCUGAGAGGAAGGUCCCCCACAUUGGAACUGAGACACGGUCCAAACUCCUACGGGAGGCAGCAGUGAGGAAUAUUGGUCAAUGGGCGAGAGCCUGAACCAGCCAAGUAGCGUGCAGGAUGACGGCCCUAUGGGUUGUAGACUGCUUUUAUAAGGGAAUAAAGUGAGUCUCGUGAGACUUUUUGUAUGUACCUUAUGAAUAAGGACCGGCUAAUUCCGUGCCAGCAGCCGCGGUAAUACGGAAGGUCCGGGCGUUAUCCGGAUUUAUUGGGUUUAAAGGGAGCGUAGGCCGGAGAUUAAGCGUGUUGUGAAAUGUAGUGGCUCAACCUCUGCACUGCAGCGCGAACUGGUCUUCUUGAGUACGCACAACGUGGGCGGAAUUCGUGGUGUAGCGGUGAAAUGCUUAGAUAUCACGAAGAACUCCGAUUGCGAAGGCAGCUCACGGGAGCGCAACUGACGCUGAAGCUCGAAAGUGCGGGUAUCGAACGGGAUUAGAUACCCUGGUAGUCCGCACGGUAAACGAUGGAUGCCCGCUGUUGGUCUGAAUAGGUCAGCUUUCAAGGGAAAGCAUUAAGCAUCCCACCUGGGGAGUACG